rnacentral:lncRNA from 1 species
UUUGUUUCCAAGUUAUAUCAAUUAUCACCCGUCGGUACUGUCAGACCUGACUUGUGGAAAUGUUACUCCUUAACCAGUAACCAAUUUUGUAUACAAAACCCCAACAUACCCACUAUAAUUGUAUUCUUUACAAAUACUCAAUAACUGGUUUGUAUGUAUUUAGUUAAGUGAGGUUUUGUAAAAACAGUUAACAAAAAGGAGAUUACUC